rnacentral:ncRNA from 2 species
CCCUCAUCCGAGGGGUGUCCGCGAUGGUCGCGGGCUGAGAGUUACCCUUUGAACCUGAUCCGGCUCAUACCGGCGCGAGGGACGGAACACGAACAUGAC